rnacentral:rRNA from 1 species
GAGUUUGAACCUGGCUCAGGAUGAACGCUGGCGGCGUGCCUAAUACAUGCAAGUCGAGCGAACAGAUAAGGAGCUUGCUCCUUUGAAGUUAGCGGCGGACGGGUGAGUAACACGUGGGUAACCUACCUAUAAGACUGGGAUAACUUCGGGAAACCGGAGCUAAUACCGGAUAACAUUUAGAACCGCAUGGUUCUAAAGUGAAAGAUGGUUUUGCUAUCACUUAUAGAUGGACCCGCGCCGUAUUAGCUAGUUGGUAAGGUAACGGCUUACCAAGGCGACGAUACGUAGCCGACCUGAGAGGGUGAUCGGCCACACUGGAACUGAGACACGGUCCAGACUCCUACGGGAGGCAGCAGUAGGGAAUCUUCCGCAAUGGGCGAAAGCCUGACGGAGCAACGCCGCGUGAGUGAUGAAGGGUUUCGGCUCGUAAAACUCUGUUAUUAGGGAAGAACAAAUGUGUAAGUAACUGUGCAC